rnacentral:rRNA from 1 species
AUUGAACGCUGGCGGUAUGCUUAACACAUGCAAGUCGAACGAUGAGAAAGAGCUUGCUCUUUCGAUUAGUGGCGGACGGGUACGUAACGCGUAGGAAUCUACCUAUUAGUGGGGGACAACUUAGGGAAACUUAAGCUAAUACCGCAUACGCCCUACGGGGGAAAGAAGGGGAUCGCGAGACCUUUUGCUAAUAGAUGAGCCUGCGUAGGAUUAGCUAGUUGGUGGGGUAAAAGCUCACCAAGGCGACGAUCCUUAACUGGUUUGAGAGAAUGAUCAGUCACACUGGAACUGAGACACGGUCCAGACUCCUACGGGAGGCAGCAGUGGGGAAUAUUGGACAAUGGGCGAAAGCCUGAUCCAGCAAUACCGCGUGUGUGAAGAAGGCCUUAGGGUUGUAAAGCACUUUCAAUUGGAGGGAAAACCUCGAAGCUAAUACCUUCGAGUUUGACAUUACCUUUAGAAGAAGCACCGGCUAACUCCGUGCCAGCCGCCGCCGUAAAAC